GCACAACCCAGCAGCCCACUCCUGUCUGCUUGCUGCUCAAGUUCAACUCUGGUCAGCAGCCGCUUCAGGCAGGUGCCUUAGGUCUCAGAGUCCCCAGCUCCUGGCCACUGAAUCAGGGCUGGUGGCCCCUCCCCCGCUGGCCUGCCCAACGGUGGCAGCUGUGGGCGUGGCAUCCUGCAGCCACCAGGCCCAUCUGCGGGUUUACGCUGGGCAUCCUCCCUGAGAGGGCGGGACAGUCGUCUGUCACUUUUACAAAUAAAUAAAGAGACAAGGCACGGUCAAUGACUUGCCUGAGAUUGUGAGUAAAAGCUACCGGACUCUCCAGAACGAACCACAAAAUCUCCAACUACAUCCUGACUCGGAGUGUUACCCUCUGGAAUCAAAACGGUGGCUUAAAAAGGCCUGGGCAGGACUACGCUCUCAGAGGGGGGCUUCUGGACCCCCCUCUGGAUGCAGCUCACAACCCGCGUUGCAGCGCCCCCAUCGCAGAGCCCCCACCGCAAGCCCGUGUGGAAUUCACUCUCCUCUCAGGGUUUCUUACUGGCUAAAACCAGGUGUGAUUUCUGCUUCUCUGGGGCCGGGUCUAGCUCGCUUCUCCGUCCAAGCCCAGGAAGAGAACACUAAACGCAGGGCCGGGGGUGAGAGGGAGACUCCCCGCGGCCAGACGAACAACGACCGACCAGGGAGACCCAGGCCCGGGGGGUCGGGAGGCCAGACCUGGUCUCGGGGGACGGGAGACCUCAGGGCUCGGCCGCCGUCAAGCUCACAGCUCUGCUCACCGGCCGCUGGAGGCAGAGGAGGGAGGCAGGUGGCAUCGAACUCUCCGAGGUUAUAGGAGAAAAACACCUCCAGGGAAGCGACCGACUGAAUCAGGAGCAGGAAAAAUCCUAGAGGUUCCAGGCAGCGGCCCGGCAGAAUCGGCAACAGGGCCCGACGCCGGCCAGACUCCGCAGCCCUUCCUGCGACCAAGAACAAGAAGCCAGGCCGCG
rnacentral:lncRNA from 1 species